rnacentral:rRNA from 1 species
AAGAACCUUACCAGGUCUUGACAUCCCGAUGCUAUUUCUAGAGAUAGAAAGUUACUUCGGUACAUCGGUGACAGGUGGUGCAUGGUUGUCGUCAGCUCGUGUCGUGAGAUGUUGGGUUAAGUCCCGCAACGAGCGCAACCCCUAUUGUUAGUUGCCAUCAUUCAGUUGGGCACUCUAGCGAGACUGCCGGUAAUAAACCGGAGGAAGUGGGAUGACGUCAAAUCAUCAUGCCCCUUAUGACCUGGGCUACACACGUGCUACAAUGGUUGGUACAACGAGUUGCGAGUCGGUGACGGCGAGCUAAUCUCUUAAAGCCAAUCUCAGUUCGGAUUGUAGGCUGCAACUCGCCUACAUGAAGUCGGAAUCGCUAGUAAUCGCGGAUCAGCACGCCGCGGUGAAUACGUUCCCGGGCCUU